AAAGAAUUAGUUAAAAACAAUAACAUAAAUAUGUCAAAUUUAAAUUAUUACUAAGUAAUAUUCUUUU
rnacentral:tRNA from 1 species